rnacentral:rRNA from 1 species
UCUGACGUUAGCGGCGGACGGGUGAGUAACACGUGGAUAACCUACCUAUAAGACUGGGAUAACUUCGGGAAACCGGAGCUAAUACCGGAUAACAUGUUGAACCGCAUGGUUCAACAGUGAAAGACGGUCUUGCUGUCACUUAUAGAUGGAUCCGCGCCGCAUUAGCUAGUUGGUAAGGUAACGGCUUACCAAGGCAACGAUGCGUAGCCGACCUGAGAGGGUGAUCGGCCACACUGGAACUGAGACACGGUCCAGACUCCUACGGGAGGCAGCAGUAGGGAAUCUUCCGCAAUGGGCGAAAGCCUGACGGAGCAACGCCGCGUGAGUGAAGAAGGUCUUCGGAUCGUAAAACUCUGUUAUUAGGGAAGAACAAAUGUGUAAGUAACUAUGCACGUCUUGACGGUACCUAAUCAGAAAGCCACGGCUAACUACGUGCCAGCAGCCGCGGUAAUACGUAGGUGGCAAGCGUUAUCCGGAAUUAUUGGGCGUAAAGCGCGCGUAGGCGGUUUUUUAAGUCUGAUGUGAAAGCCCACGGCUCAACCGUGGAGGGUCAUUGGAAACUGGAAAACUUGAGUGCAGAAGAGGAAAGUGGAAUUCCAUGUGUAGCGGUGAAAUGCGCAGAGAUAUGGAGGAACACCAGUGGCGAAGGCGACUUUCUGGUCUGUAACUGACGCUGAUGUGCGAAAGCGUGGGGAUCAAACAGGAUUAGAUACCCUGGUAGUCCACGCCGUAAACGAUGAGUGCUAAGUGUUAGGGGGUUUCCGCCCCUUAGUGCUGCAGCUAACGCAUUAAGCACUCCGCCUGGGGAGUACGACCGCAAGGUUGAAACUCAAAGGAAUUGACGGGGACC